rnacentral:rRNA from 1 species
AUUUUAUGGAGAGUUUGAUCCUGGCUCAGAGUGAACGCUGGCGGCGUGCCUAAUACAUGCAAGUCGAACGGAGUAUUAAGAGAGCUUGCUCUUUUAAUACUUAGUGGCGCACGGGUGAGUAAUGUAUAGUUAAUCUGCCCUACACUGGAGGACAACAGUUAGAAAUGACUGCUAAUACUCCAUACUCCUUCUUAACAUAAGUUAAGUCGGGAAAGUUUUUCGGUGUAGGAUGA